GGCUGAGUAACGCGUGGGAACGGACCCCAAACUGAGGGAUAACUACUCGAAAGAGUGGCUAAUACCGCAUGUGAUCUUCGGAUUAAAGGAUUUAUCCGGUUUGGGACUGGCCUGCGUACGAUUAGAUAGUUGGUAGGGUAAUGGCCUACCAAGUCGACGAUCGUUAGAUGGUUUGAGAAGAUGAUCAUCCAGACUGGGACUGAGACACGGCCCAGACUCCUACGGGAGGCAGCAGUAGGGAAUCUUUCACAAUGGGCGAAAGCCUGAUGGAGCAACGCCGCGUGCAGGAUGACGGCCUUCGGGUUGUAAACUGCUUUUGUAACCGAGAAAUAUGAUGGUAGGUUUCGAAUAAGGACCGGCUAACUACGUGCCAGCAGCCGCGGUCAUACGUAGGGUCCAAGCAUUAUCCGGAUUGACUGGGUGUAAAGAGUUGCGUAGGUGGCAGGGUAAGUAGAUAGUGAAAUCUGGUGGCUCAACCAUUCAGACUAUUAUCUAAACUGCUCCGCUCGAGAAUGUUAGGGGUAGCUGGAAUUUCUAGUGUAGGAGUGAAAUCCGUAGAUAUUAGAAAGAACACCGAUAGCGUAGGCAGGCUACUGGGACAUUUCUGACACUAAGGCACG
rnacentral:rRNA from 1 species